rnacentral:rRNA from 1 species
UACGUAGGUGGCAAGCGUUGUCCGGAAUUAUUGGGCGUAAAGGGCGCGUAGGCGGUUGCCUAAGUCAGAUGUGAAAACCCCGGGCUUAACCUGGGACCUGCAUUUGAAACUGGGCGACUAGAGUACAGGAGAGGUAAGUGGAAUUCCUAGUGUAGCGGUGAAAUGCGUAGAUAUUAGGAGGAACACCAGUGGCGAAGGCGACUUACUGGACUGUAACUGACGCUGAGGCGCGAAAGCGUGGGGAGCAAACAGG